GGGGUUGUGGCUCAGUGGUAGAGCGCUUGCCUAGCAUGUGUGAGGCCCUGAGUUCGAUCCUCAGCACCACA
rnacentral:tRNA from 1 species